rnacentral:rRNA from 1 species
UAAUACGUAGGGGGCGAGCGUUGUCCGAAGUUACUGGGCGUAAAGCGCGCGUAGGCGGGUCUUUAAGUGAGGGGUGAAAGGUUCGGGCUCAACCCGGACACUGCCUUUCAUACUGGGGAUCUUGAGUGCGGGAGGGGCGAGUGGAAUGGUCGGUGUAGCGGUGAAAUGCGUAGAUAUCGAUCGGAACACCCAUGGCGAAGGCAGCUCGCUGGCCUGCAACUGACGCUGAGGCGCGAAAGCGUGGGGAGCAAACAGGAUUAGAUACCCUGGUAGUCCACGCCGUAAACGAUGAGUGCUAGGUGUAAGGGGUAUCGACCCCCCUUGUGCCGCAGCUAACGCAAUAAGCACUCCGCCUGGGGAGUACGGCCGCAAGGUUG